UGGAUGUGGAGAGAGCAGAGCGCCUGAAGAAUGGCUCCUUUGUGAUGAACACAUCCGACAGCAACUUGGGCUUACUCCUCACGGGUGGCAGGAUACCCGUGACCUUCCUGUGAUAUUACGCCCUAUAUAU